UACGUAGGUGGCAAGCGUUGUCCGGAAUUAUUGGGCGUAAAGCGCGCGCAGGUGGUUCUUAAGUCUGAUGUGAAAGCCACGGCUCAACCGUGGAGGUCAUUGGAAACUGGGGAACUUGAGUGCAGAAGAGGAAAGUGGAAUUCCGAAGUGUAGACGGUGAAAUGACGUAGAGAUUUGGAGGAACGACCAGUGGCGAAGGCGAAGCUUUCUGU
rnacentral:rRNA from 1 species